rnacentral:rRNA from 1 species
UACGAAGGGGGCUAGCGUUGUUCGGAUUUACUGGGCGUAAAGCGCACGUAGGCGGACUAUUAAGUCAGGGGUGAAAUCCCGGGGCUCAACCCCGGAACUGCCUUUGGAUACUGGUAGUCUUGAGUUCGAGAGAGGUGAGUGGAAUUCCGAGUGUAGAGGUGAAAUUCGUAGAUAUUCGGAGGAACACCAGUGGCGAAGGCGGCUCACUGGCUCGAUACUGACGCUGAGGUGCGAAAGCGUGGGGAGCAAACAGG